ACGUAGGAGGCAAACGUUAUCCGGAUUUACUGGGCGUAAAGCGCGUGUAGGUGGUUCUGUAAGUAAGGCGUGAAAGCUCCUGGCUCAACUGGGAGAGGCCGAUCUAAACUGCAGAGCUAGAGGAUGGUAGAGGGAGGUGGAAUGUGGGAUGUAGCGGUGGAAUGCUUAGAUAUUCCGAGGAACACCAAUGGCGUAGGCAGCUUCCUGGACCGUCCCUGACGCUCAGGCGCGAAAGCUUGGGGAGCGAACGG
rnacentral:rRNA from 1 species